rnacentral:rRNA from 1 species
UGAGGAAUUUUCUGCAAUGGGCGAAAGCCUGACAGAGCAAUACCGCGUGAGGGAUUGAAGGCUUUCGAGUUGUAAACCUCUUUUUUCAAGGAAGAAGAUCUGACGUUACUUGAAGAAUAAGCAUCGGCUAACUCUGUGCCAGCAGCCGCGGUAAUACAGGGGAUGCAAGUGUUAUCCGGAAUUAUUGGGCGUAAAGCGUCUGCAGGUUAUUUUUUAAGUCUUUUGUUAAAUAUUUAAGCUUAACUUAAGGAAAGCUAAGGAAACUGAAAAAUUAGAGUUAGGUAGAGGUAAAGGGAAUUUCCAGUGGAAUGGUGAAAUAUAUAGAUAUUGGAAAGAACACCAACGGCGAAGGCACUUUACUGGGCCAUAACUGACACUCAGAGACGAAAGCUAGGGGAGCGAACGGG